rnacentral:rRNA from 1 species
UACGUAGGGUGCAAGCGUUGUCCGGAAUUAUUGGGCGUAAAGGGCUUGUAGGCGGUUUGUCGCGUCUGCUGUGAAAUUUCGGGGCUCAACCCCGAACUUGCAGUGGGUACGGGCAGGCUAGAGUGUGGUAGGGGAGACUGGAAUUCCUGGUGUAGCGGUGAAAUGCGCAGAUAUCAGGAGGAACACCAAUGGCGAAGGCAGCUCGCUGGGACGGUACUGACGCUGAGGCGCGAAAGCGUGGGGAGCAAACAGG